GACGAACGCUGGCGGCGCGCUUAACACAUGCAAGUCGAACGGAAAGGCCUGCUUUCCCUUGUGGAUUGCGGGUACUCGAGUGGCGAACGGGUGAGUAACACGUGAGUGAUCUGCCCCCAACUUGGGUAUAAGCCUGGGAAACUGGGUCUAAUUCCCGAUAGGACUGCAGGGUGGUGCCUGUGGUGGAAAACGAUUUUCUAGUGGUUGGGGAUGAGCUCGCGGCCUAUCAGCUUGUUGGUGGGGUAAUGGCCUACCAAGGCGGCGACGGGUAGCCGGCCUGGGAGGGUGGACGGCGACAUUGGGACUGAGAUACGGCCCAGACUCCUACGGGAGGCAGCAGUGGGGAAUAUUGCACAAUGGGCGGAAGCCUGAUGCAGCGACGCCGCGUGGGGGAUGACGGCCUUCGGGCUGUAAACUCCUUUCGACCGCGAGGAAGCCACCUGGUUGGAAGGGUGGUGACGGUAGUGGUAGAAGAAGCACCGGCUAACUACGUG
rnacentral:rRNA from 1 species